rnacentral:rRNA from 1 species
GAUGAACGCUAGCGGCAGGCUUAAUACAUGCAAGUCGAGGGGCAGCAUGGUGGUAGCAAUACCACUGAUGGCGACCGGCAAACGGGUGCGGAACACGUACGCAACUUACCCUUAACUGGGGGAUAGCCCGGGGAAACCCGGAUUAAUACCUCGUAACAUAUUGUGGUGGCAUCACCAUAUUAUUAUAGCUUUAUUGUGGUUAAGGAUGGGCGUGCGGCUGAUUAGGUAGUUGGCAGGGUAACGGCCUACCAAGCCUGCGAUCAGUAACUGGUGUGAGAGCACGACCAGUCACACGGGCACUGAGACACGGGCCCGACUCCUACGGGAGGCAGCAGUAAGGAAUAUUGGUCAAUGGACGCAAGUCUGAACCAGCCAUGCCGCGUGGAGGAUGAAGGCCCUCUGGGUUGUAAACUUCUUUUAUCUGGGACGAAACCUACCUUUUUCUAAGGGU